AUUGAACGCUGGCGGCAUGCCUUACACAUGCAAGUCGAGCGGUAACAGGUCCUCGGAUGCUGACGAGUGGCGAACGGGUGAGUAAUACAUCGGAACGUGCCUAGUAGUGGGGGAUAACUACUCGAAAGAGUGGCUAAUACCGCAUGAGAUCUACGGACGAAAGCAGGGGAUCGCAAGACCUUGUGCUACUAGAGCGGCCGAUGGCAGAUUAGGUAGUUGGUGGGAUAAAAGCUUACCAAGCCGACGAUCUGUAGCUGGUCGGAGAGGACGAUCAGCCACACUGGGACUGAGACACGGCCCAGACUCCUACGGGGGGAAGCAGUGGGGAAUUUUGGACAAUGGGCGCAAGCCUGAUCCAGCAAUGCCGCGUGCAGGAUGAAGGCCUUCGGGUUGUAAACUGCUUUUGUACGGAACGAAAAGCCCUGGGUUAAUACCCUGGGGUCAUGACGGUACCGUAAGAAUAAGCACCGGCUAACUACGUGCCAGCAGCCGCCGUAAAAC
rnacentral:rRNA from 1 species